rnacentral:rRNA from 1 species
UAGGGAAUCUUCCGCAAUGGACGCAAGUCUGACGGAGCAACGCCGCGUGAGUGAAGAAGGAUUUCGGUUCGUAAAACUCUGUUGUUAGAGAAGAACAGCGCAUAGAGUAACUGUUAUGCGUGUGACGGUAUCUAACCAGAAAGCCACGGCUAACUACGUGCCAGCAGCCGCGGUAAUACGUAGGUGGCAAGCGUUGUCCGGAUUUAUUGGGCGUAAAGCGAGCGCAGGCGGUCAAUUAAGUCUGAUGUGAAAGCCCCCGGCUCAACCGGGGAGGGUCAUUGGAAACUGGUUGAAUUGAGUGCAGAAGAGGAGAGUGGAAUUCCAUGUGUAGCGGUGAAAUGCGUAGAUAUAUGGAGGAACACCAGUGGCGAAGGCGACUCUCUGGUCUGUAACUGACGCUGAGGUGCGAAAGCGUGGGUAGCAAACAGG